UACGAAGGGGGCUAGCGUUGCUCGGAAUCACUGGGCGUAAAGCGCACGUAGGCGGAUUGCUAAGUCAGGGGUGAAAUCCUGGAGCUCAACUCCAGAACUGCCUUUGAUACUGGCGAUCUUGAGUCCGGGAGGGGUGAGUGGAACUGCGAGUGUAGAGGUGAAAUUCGUAGAUAUUCGCAAGAACACCAGUGGCGAAGGCGGCUCACUGGCCCGAUACUGACGCUGAGGCACGAAAGCGUGGGGAGCAAACAGG
rnacentral:rRNA from 1 species